GGAUUGUGGCUCAGUGGUACAGCACUCGCUUAGCACACGCGAGGCCCUGGGUUCGAUCCUCAGCACCA
rnacentral:tRNA from 1 species